CAAGAAUUAACCCGGUUUACCACCGGGGCUAUUCACAACCCUUUGUUGUCCGACUCUGUUGCCUCCGGGGCGACCCUGCCUUCGGGCGGGGGCUCCGGGUGGACACUUACAAACUCUUGCGUAACUUUGCAGUCUGAGUAAAUUUAAUUAAUAAAUUA
rnacentral:misc_RNA from 1 species